UCUAUGUACGGAGCGUUUCGGUUUUGAACCAUAACAACACACCUUAUGUGUUCCUGAAUGGAAGCGAGUAACAUAAGAGAAAGUUUGGAUUAUUAUUUUUCUAGAAUUGGGUUUUUGGAGAUAUUUUUAUCACAAGUCAAUAAUUGUGAAAGUUUGGUCUAGUAAAGAUGUUUUGGACACAAUAUUCACUUGAGUGUUAAGCAAUGAUGAUGGGUAAGUUAAGGACCCGAUAUCACCCCACACAUUUACUAUCAAUCCGCCCCUGAGUACGAACGAAAUAUGAGUGUACACUUCCAUAUGUUAAUAUCUUAUUGUACCCUAUCAAAUAAGUUAGUCAAUA
rnacentral:lncRNA from 1 species